rnacentral:rRNA from 1 species
AUUGAACGCUGGCGGCAGGCUUAACACAUGCAAGUCGAGCGGGGGAAGGUAGCUUGCUACUGGACCUAGCGGCGGACGGGUGAGUAAUGCUUAGGAAUCUGCCUAUUAGUGGGGGACAACAUCUCGAAAGGGAUGCUAAUACCGCAUACGUCCUACGGGAGAAAGCAGGGGAUCACUUGUGACCUUGCGCUAAUAGAUGAGCCUAAGUCGGAUUAGCUAGUUGGUGGGGUAAAGGCCUACCAAGGCGACGAUCUGUAGCGGGUCUGAGAGGAUCAUCCGCCACACUGGGACUGAGACACGGCCCAGAAUCCUCCGGGAGGCAGCAGUGGGGAAUAUUGGACAAUGGGGGGAACCCUGAUCCAGCCAUGCCGCGUGUAUGAAGAAGGCCUUAUGGUUGUAAAGCACUUUAAGCGAGGAGGAGGCUCUUUUGGUUAAUACCCAAGAUGAGUGGACGUUACUCGCAGAAUAAGCACCGGCUAACUCUGUGCCAGCCGCCGCGGUAA